CUGGCGACCGGCGCACGGGUGAGUAACACGUAUCCAACCUGCCGAUAACUCGGGGAUAGCCUUUCGAAAGAAAGAUUAAUACCCGAUGGCAUAAUUAGACCGCAUGGUCUUAUUAUUAAAGAAUUUCGGUUAUCGAUGGGGAUGCGUUCCAUUAGGCAGUUGGUGAGGUAACGGCUCACCAAACCUUCGAUGGAUAGGGGUUCUGAGAGGAAGGUCCCCCACAUUGGAACUGAGACACGGUCCAA
rnacentral:rRNA from 1 species